rnacentral:rRNA from 1 species
UACGAAGGGGGCUAGCGUUGCUCGGAAUUACCGGGCGUAAAGGGAGCGUAGGCGGAUAGUUCAGUCAGAGGUGAAAGCCCAGGGCUCAACCUUGGAAUUGCCUUUGAUACUGGCUGUCUUGAGUAUGGGAGAGGUUAGCGGAACUCCGAGUGUAGAGGUGAAAUUCGUAGAUAUUCGGAAGAACACCAGUGGCGAAGGCGGCUAACUGGCCCAUUACUGACGCUGAGGCUCGAAAGCGUGGGGAGCAAACAGG